GCCACCCACGGGCCGUUUGCCAUGUGAACCCGGUACUGCAAUAUUAAAUACUUUGAAUCAACUCUCCAUGUAAGUGUUUAAGUAUCUUCUUGCAUCCUGAAUUACUUGAUACAGGAGAAAAUCAUCAUAACAGGCUUCCUGGACAUCCUUCAGAAGCAGCCAAAUCUCUGCAAGAGUCUCUUUGUCCAUGGGGAAGAUUGCAAUCCGGAUGCUGACUACGUAGUCGGCCUCAUCACUCCUGAAAUGAGCGGGAGAGGAACCUCCAGGGCUGCCAGAGACAGAUAAUAAACUACUUUCAGGACUUUGUUCAAGAUCUAGAAACUGCAGGAGGAAUGGAGGAAAAGGAAGCAGCAACGCACGGUGAACAAGUAGGAGGAAGAAGAUGGACAAGAAGUGGAGCCAUCCAGACUAACAGUUCCCACUGUCCCUAAAGUUAUGCAAUGGCUGAUGGGUCAGGGGCACAAGCCACUAUUGCUGUCUGAACAUCAGGCCUUUAAAAUUAUCUUCAAAUUUGACCAUGAGUGACGAGUCCGAAUGCCACCGCACACCCUAUGCUACCCUACAGUCAGUGCUUGCUCAAACAUGAUCACAUUCCCCACAGCACACCUGACCUCUUAUGAAGAUUUGAAAACCAUGAUGAUACAAGCCAUCACAUCAGGUGGAGCAUUCCACAGUGUGAAUGCCCAAUGGCCUUACACAUUGGAAGAGACUCGUCAGGUUUGUUUAUGCUGAGCCGCAGGUCACCGUUCUAUGGCCCACGAUGUGUCGGUCAUGUUGUCAACAAGGCAGCAUGGUGUAUCGUCCAGAAACAUAUGUAUCUUUUCCAUAAAAUAUGUUAGUAUUUUCAAACUAGUUUUCAUUGGGAAGGCAGAUAAAGCAUUAUCAAAAGUAAUCACUUUUGCAUGUUAACACAGAAUCCUACUAAUUACUCCACACGCUUAAUUGCAUCACUUUUGUUUUGUUUCUAGACUACAUUUUAGUCAUUUAAAACAUUGAUUCUGUUGUCCAUAGUGUGGUGGCAGAAUUUGGGGUGAGCUGUUGCAAUUUCUCAAGGGAUAUGUUCUGUGUUGGACUGAUGUUAUGCCUUUCAUAGACUCCUGGUAUGUCUGCACUCUAACACAAGGCCAUUGUGUUCUGGAACUGUUGCUUGCAUAAAAUAACUGUUGUGUAAACAAUAUUGAUCGUAUUAUCACCUCCAACUAUAUAAGAGACAUGUAACCAUUUACUCUUCACUACCCUGUGAAAUCAGAUCUCCCCUGCAGCUGCUUGAUUAAAGAUGUUUCUAUUAUACA